rnacentral:tRNA from 1 species
GGUCACUUAGCUCAGUUGGUUAGAGCGUUCCGUUCACAUCGGAGAGGUCACUGGUUCGAAUCCAGUAGUGACCA